rnacentral:rRNA from 1 species
AACGAACGCUGGCGGUAUGCUUAACACAUGCAAGUCGAACGGGUAUAGCAAUAUAUCAGUGGCAAACGGGUGAGGAAUACACAGGAAUCUACCUAGCAGUAAGGGAUAACUCUGGGAAACAAGAGCUAAUACCAUAUAUUACCAUUUAUUUGGGAAAGAUUUAUCGCUGCUAGAUGAGCCUUUGUCGGAUUAGCUAGUUGGUAGGGUAAUGGCCUACCAAGGCAAUGAUCCGUAGCUGGUCUGAGAGGAUGAUCAGCCACACUGGAGCUGAGACACGGUCCAGACUCCUACGGGAGGCAGCAGUGGGGAAUAUUGGACAAUGGGCGCAAGCCUGAUCCAGCAAUACCGCGUGAGUGAUGAAGGCCCUCGGGUUGUAAAGCUCUUUUAGUGGGGAAGAUAAUGACGGUACCCACAGAAAAAGCACCGGCAAACUUCGUGCCAGCAGCCGCAGUAA